GGAAUUACUGGGCGUAAAGCGUGCGUAGGUGGUGGUUUAAGUCUGUUGUGAAAGCCCUGGGCUCAACCUGGGAAUUGCAGUGGAUACUGGAUCACUAGAGUGUGGUAGAGGGUAGCGGAAUUCCCGGUGUAGCAGUGAAAUGCGUAGAGAUCGGGAGGAACAUCCGUGGCGAAGGCGGCUACCUGGACCAACACUGACACUGAGGCACGAAAGCGUGGGGAGCAAACAGGAUUAGAUACCCUGGUAGUCCACGCCCUAAACGAUGCGAACUGGAUGUUGGGUGCAAUUUGGCACGCAGUAUCGAAGCUAACGCGUUAAGUUCGCCGCCUGGGGAGUACGGUCGCAAGACUGAAACUCAAAGGAAUUGACGGGGGCCCGCACAAGCGGUGGAGUAUGUGGUUUAAUUCGAUGCAACGCGAAGAACCUUACCUGGUCUUGACAUCCACGGAACUUUCCAGAGAUGGAUUGGUGCCUUCGGG
rnacentral:rRNA from 1 species